UACGUAGGUGACAAGCGUUGUCCGGAUUUACUGGGCGUAAAGAGCGCGCAGGCGGUCGUUCAAGUCGAGUGUGAAAGCCCCCGGCUCAACUGGGGAGGGUCAUUCGAUACUGAUCGACUCGAAGGCAGGAGAGGGAAGUGGAAUUCCCGGUGUAGUGGUGAAAUGCGCAGAUAUCAGGAGGAACACCGGUGGCGAAGGCGGGUCUCUGGGCCGUAACUGACGCUGAGGAGCGAAAGCAUGGGGAGCGAACAGG
rnacentral:rRNA from 1 species